AUACAUGCAAGUCGAGCGAGAUGUUAGCGCAUGAACCUUCGGGGGAUUAUGCUAACGGACAGCGGCGGACGGGUGAGUAACGCGUAGGCAACCUGCCCCUGACAGAGGGAUAGCCAUUGGAAACGAUGAUUAAAACCUCAUGACACCGUAGAAGCACAUGCUUCAUCGGUCAAAGAUUUAUCGGUCAGGGAUGGGCCUGCGUCUGAUUAACUAGUUGGUGAGGUAACGGCUCACCAAGGUGACGAUCAGUAGCCGACCUGAGAGGGUGAUCGGCCACAUUGGAACUGAGACACGGUCCAAACUUCUACGGAAGGCAGCAGUAGGGAAUCUUGCACAAUGGGCGAAAGCCUGAUGCAGCAACGCCGCGUGAAGGAUGAAGGCCUUCGGGUUGUAAACUUCUGUUCUAAGGGAAGAAACAAAUGACGGUACCUUAGGAGCAAGCCCCGGCUAACUACGUGCCAGCAGCCGCGGUAAUACGUAGGGGGCAAGCGUUAUCCGGAAUUAUUGGGCGUAAAGAGUGCGUAGGUGGUUACCUAAGCGCAAGGUUUAAUUUAGAGGCUCAACCUCUACUUGCCUUGCGAACU
rnacentral:rRNA from 1 species